AUUACUCAUUUUAUUGCAUUUGUGUAAAAAUUCACUGGCUAGAAGCUUUUGUUCAGCGUGUAACGAGCAUUUGGUCCUGACAGUGUGAAAACACAGACGAUUUAAAAUGAUUAUAUGAUCACUUUAUCGAAACAUUGUUGGUGUAAUAAACGAGUUAAGCUGGAAAUAUGACUAUAAUCUCGUUACAGGUGUACAAAUACGUGUAAUAUAUUUAAACAAGCCCGCUGAUAUUCAUUCAUUGGGCACAAAGAGAUCUACACAAAUAGGUUUCACUAGCCUAUAAGAAAAAGCGACACUUUCACGACUAUUAAGUAAAAGAGGGUGAAUAAUAUGUAAAAAAAAAUUAUAUAUAUAUACAUGUAGAAAACUAAAAAAGAGAGAGAGAGACGGAGAGAAAGAGACUGGCUGAGUUGUAAAAUUACCAGUUUUCCUACUAAGUGACUAUGAGCCAGUAAAAUGUGAGUUAUCGAGAGUAAUUCUUACCUCACAACGAUAUAAACCACCUUCUCUCACACUUCAGGCAGCUCUCGGACGAAACGUGAACCAUUCCACAAACAGAGCUCCGGAUAAACAACGAGACAAAAGGGAAAAACUGCGGGCAACACGCGCGGGGUAACUUUUUCCUUUGACUUUCUACAAGUCUUGAGGCCGGGACCAGGCUGCAGCCGGUGUGUGUGCCUGUAAGCUCCGCCGGAAUGCAGAGCUGAGGGCUUCGGAACUCACAGGGGGAACUCCUCCUCCUCCUCCUCCCUCCUCCUCUCCUCGCCACCAUAACAAAUUGAUACCCACCUUAUUAACGUCACACCCGCGUCAGAGCUUCGAGCUGGGUGCAAGGCAAGGCCGGACCCGAGCGCAAGGAAAGGGUUGCUGGGCAACCGCGCGGCUCGGGCGCACGGUGACGCGAGUGCUGAUGGAGGGGUUGCUUGGAGAUGGGGACGGUGACGUCAGUCGUAAAGAUGUGUCACCACGUGAUGUUUCCCUCUGCCGGGCUCGUAGCUCGCGGGCUCUCUCCACAGAGCGGCUGCGCGCGCGGCUCCGACAGGAACAGAAACAGAAAGCAACUGGUGUUCGUCAGUCGCGCGGUCUCUGCUGCUCAUGGAGCACUUUAGACUCUGCUGGGCUCGGAAAGUACAAACACAGAGCCAAUAAGAACGCCACGCUGGAUCUCGGUGUAAGCUAA
rnacentral:lncRNA from 1 species